UACGGAGGGUGCGAGCGUUGUCCGGAAUCACUGGGCGUAAAGGGCGCGUAGGCGGCCUGAUAAGUAGGGGGUGAAAUCCUGCGGCUUAACCGCAGGGCUGCCUUCUAAACUGUCAGGCUAGAGCACAGUAGAGGCAGGUGGAAUUCCCGGUGUAGCGGUGGAAUGCGUAGAGAUCGGGAAGAACAUCAGUGGCGAAGGCGGCCUGCUGGGCUGUUGCUGACGCUGAGGCGCGGCAGCGUGGGGAGCAAACAGG
rnacentral:rRNA from 1 species